GACGAACGCUGGCGGCGUGCUUAACACAUGCAAGUCGAACGAUGAAGCUGGAGCUUGCUCUGGCGGAUUAGUGGCGAACGGGUGAGUAACACGUGAGAAAUCUGCCCUUGACUCUGGGAUAACUGCGGGAAACUGUAGCUAAUACCGGAUACUUUCCCUGGUGGGCAUCCACUGGGGAAGAAAGAAUUUCGGUCAAGGAUGAUCUCGCGGCCUAUCAGCUUGUUGGGGAGGUAAUGGCUCACCAAGGCGACGACGGGUAGCCGGCCUGAGAGGGUGACCGGCCACACUGGGACUGAGACACGGCCCGGACUCCUACGGGAGGCAGCAGUGGGGAAUAUUGCACAAUGGGCGCAAGCCUGAUGCAGCAACGCCGCGUGAGGGAUGAAGGCCUUCGGGUUGUAAACCUCUUUUAGCAGGGAAGAAGCGAAAGUGACGGUACCUGCAGAAAAAGCACCGGCUAACUACGUGCCAGCAGCCGCCGUAA
rnacentral:rRNA from 1 species